rnacentral:rRNA from 1 species
UUACUGGGCGUAAAGCGUCUGCAGGUGUUUGCCACGUCUGGCGUAAAAGCACGGAGCCCAACUCCGUGUACGUGCUGGAAACGAGCAGAAUUGAGUCAUGGAGAGGUAACUGGAAUGCUGUGAGUAGGGGUAAAAUCCGUAGAUCCACAGUGGAACGCCAAAAGCGAAGGCAGGUUACUGGCCAUGUACUGACACUCAGAGACGAAAGCGUGGGGAGCAAAGGGGAUUAGAUACCCCCGUAGCCCACGCCCUAAACUAUGCGAGCUCGGUGUAGGGGAUUUUUUCAAUUGAUCUCUGUGCCCAAGUUAACACGGUAAGCUCGCCGCCUGGGAAGUACGGUCGCAAGACUAAAACUCAAAGGAAUAGACGGGGACCCACACAAGCGGUGGAGCAUGGGGUUUAAUUCGAUAAUAAGCGAAGAACCUCACCCAGGCUUGACAUCUAGAGAACCCGGCCGAAAGGUUGGGGUGCCGCAAGGAACUCUAAGACAGGCGCUGCACGGUCGUCGUCAGCUCGUGCCUUGAGGUGUACUGUUAAGUCAGCGAACGAGCGCAACCCUCAUCCUAUGUUGUUAUUUCAUGGGAGACUGCCGCCUCCAAGGCGGAGGAAGGUGGGGAUGACGUCAGAUCAGCGUGGCCCUUAUGCCUGGGGCAACACCCAUGCUACAAUGGUUGGUACAAAGGGAAGCGAACCCGCGAGGGGAAGCCAAUCCCAUCAAAGCCAAUCUCAGUUCGGAUUGAAGUCUGCAACUCGACUUCAUGAAGUUGGAAUCGCUAGUAACCGUGAAUCAGCUAUGUCACGGUGAAUAUGUUCCUGGGUCUUGUACUCACCGCCCGUCAACUCAUGGAAGCUCGGAGCGCCCGAAGGACCGUUACUCGCAAGAGGCGGUACCACGGUGAUACGAGUGACUGGGAGUAAGUCGUAACAAGGUAACCA